rnacentral:rRNA from 1 species
AAACGAUGCCGAUGUCGUGGUGGCGAAAAAUGGCGACGCGAAAGAGAAAUCGAGUAGGGCCCUGGGGAGAGUACACGCGCAAGCGAGAAAUUUAAAGGAAAUUGACGGAAGAACACCACAAGGAGUGGAGUGUGCGGCUUAAUUUGACUCAACGCGGGACAACUUACCGGGCCCGACGGCCGUAAGAGUGUGACACACGAUAGGUCGAAGAGUGGUGCAUGGCCGUUAACGACGAGUGGAGUGAUCUUUGGGUUAAGUCCGUAAAUUAGUGAGACCUCAGCCGUAAGGGACAGGUGCGCAAAGCACAGGAAGGAUGGGUCAAGGACAGGUCAGUGAUGCCCUUAGAUGGUCCGGGCUGCACGCGCACUACAGUGGUCGCCGAAAUUAGCUGAUAAUUUUAAAGGCGAUCGAGAGGGAAUGAGCUUUGUAAGAGGCUCAGGAACGAGGAAUUGCUAGUAAUCGCGGACUCAUUAAGACGCGAUGAAUACGUCCCUGUUCUUUGUACACACCGCCCGUCGUUAUCGAAGAUGAAGACAGGCGCGAACGAUCUACCAGAAAGUGAGCGCAGGUCUUUAGAUCUGAUACAAGUCGUAACAAGGUAGCUGUAGGUGAACCUGUAGCUGG